GCCUGGGUGGCUCAGUGGUUGAGCAUCUGCCUUCGGCUCAGGUCGUGAUCCCGGAGUCCUGGGAUCAAGUCCCACAUCGGGCU
rnacentral:tRNA from 1 species